rnacentral:rRNA from 1 species
CACCGGAGCUUGCUCCACCGGAAAAAGAGGAGUGGCGAACGGGUGAGUAACACGUGGGUAACCUGCCCAUCAGAAGGGGAUAACACUUGGAAACAGGUGCUAAUACCGUAUAACGAUCAAAACCGCAUGGUUUUGAUUUGAAAGGCGCUUUCGGGUGUCGCUGAUGGAUGGACCCGCGGUGCAUUAGCUAGUUGGUGAGGUAACGGCUCACCAAGGCCACGAUGCAUAGCCGACCUGAGAGGGUGAUCGGCCACAUUGGGACUGAGGCACGGCCCAAACUCCUACGGGAGGCAGCAGUAGGGAAUCUUCGGCAAUGGACGAAAGUCUGACCGAGCAACGCCGCGUGAGUGAAGAAGGUUUUCGGAUCGUAAAACUCUGUUGUUAGAGAAGAACAAGGAUGAGAGUAACUGUUCAUCCCUUGACGGUAUCUAACCAGAAAGCCACGGCUAACUACGUGCCAGCAGCCGCGGUAAUACGUAGGUGGCAAGCGUUGUCCGGAUUUAUUGGGCGUAAAGCGAGCGCAGGCGGUUUCUUAAGUCUGAUGUGAAAGCCCCCGGCUCAACCGGGGAGGGUCAUUGGAAACUGGGAGACUUGAGUGCAGAAGAGGAGAGUGGAAUUCCAUGUGUAGCGGUGAAAUGCGUAGAUAUAUGGAGGAACACCAGUGGCGAAGG